rnacentral:lncRNA from 1 species
CAAUUUCAAGAAUUUUGAGAACGAACAGCUUAGAUCAUUUCUAUGUGCACGUUUGCAAAAUAAAUUUCAAAUUUGCUUAACAAAUCCACGUAAUACAAGUACUCAUUUCGAGAAGUUGAAGAAUGAACUGCCCUAAUCUUUUCUAUGGUCAAAUUUGCUCUAAAGAUCAAAUCUUAGCUUAACAGAUUCAUGUAACACAAGUAACCAUUUCAAGAAUUUUGAGAAUUUCGAGAAUAAACAGCGGUACUCUUUUAGUUAAAUGGUCAUGUUUACCCUAAAAAUCAAACCUUUUUUUAACUAAUUCACAUAACACAAGAACUUAAUCAAACCUUUUCUUCACAAAUCCAUUCACACAAGUACCCAUUUCAAGAAUUUGGAGAAUGAACUGCUAUAAUCUCUUCCUAUUGUCAUGUUUGUCCUAAAGAUCAAACCUUUUCUCUAGAAACCCCACAUAACACAAGUACCCAUUUCGAUAAUUUGGACAAUGAACUGUAAUAAUCUUUUCGAUUGUCACAUUUGGCCUACAAAAAUCAAACCUUUUCUUCACUAAAUCCACUCACACAAGUACCCAUUUCAAGAAUUUGGAGAAGGAACUGCAGUAAUCUCUUCCUAUGGUCAUAUUUGUCCUAAAGAUCAAACCUUUUCUCUAAUAAAACCCACAUAACACAAGUACACAUUUCGAUAAUUUGGACAAUAAACUGCUGUUAUCUUUUCUAUAGUCAUUUUUGCUAAAGAAAAUUAAACCUUUUCUUCACUAAAUCCACUCACUCAAGUACCCAUUUCAAGAAUUUGGAGAAUGAACUGUUGCAAUCUCUUCCAAUGGUCAUAUUUUUCCUAUAGAUCCAACCUAUGCUUAAAAACCCAACAUAACACAAGUACCCAUUUUCGAUAAUUCGGACAAUAAACAGCUGUUAUCUUUUCUGUGGUCAUUUUUGCCAAAAAAACUAAUCCUUUUCUUCACUAAAUCCACUCACACAAGAACCCAUUUCAAGAAUUUGGAGACUGAACUGCUGUAAUCUCUUCCUAUGGUCAUAUUUGUCCUAAAGAUCAAACCUUUGCUUAAAAACCCAACAUAACACAACUACCCAUUUUCAACAAUUUGGACAAUAAACUGCUGUUAUCUUUUCUAUAGUCAUUUUUGCCAUAAAAAUUAAAUAUUUGCUUAACCAACCCACUUUACAGAAUCACAGAAGCCUUAAAAGAAAUGUCAGGUUAUAAAAAUACUAUUCUAUAACAUCAAGAAAUGCAGUAAUAUGUGUGAACAUGACAGAAGAACUCUAGUAAACAUAGUUGCAGCUACUAGUAUAAAGAAUUUAAUAUAAAUUCUCAAGUGAGAGAAAUUGCUAAC